rnacentral:sRNA from 1 species
UGAUACAUUUGUAAAUAUAUACAGUUUGUUAGUUUCAAUAGUAUUUAAGAGUCCUUAAUACUUUCUUACAGAGAAGAAGAAGUUGGAUGGGAUACCGAGAUUAAGGAUGAUGUGAUUGAAGAAUGUAAUAAACAUGGAGGAGUUAUUCAUAUUUAUGUUGACAAAAAUUCAGCUCAGGGCAAUGUGUAUGUGAAGUGCCCAUCAAUUGCUGCAGCUAUUGCUGCUGUCAAUGCAUUGCAUGGCAGGUGGUUUGCUGGUAAAAUGAUAACAGCAGCAUAUGUACCUCUUCCAACUUACCACAACCUGUUUCCUGAUUCUAUGACAGCAACACAACUACUGGUUCCAAGUAGACGAUGAAGGAAGAUAUAGUCCCUUAUGUAUAUAGCUUUUUUUCUUUCUUGAGAAUUCAUCUUGAGUUAUCUUUUAUUUAGAUAAAAA